rnacentral:rRNA from 1 species
UGGGGAACUCAAGGCUAAUACCGCAUACGUCCUACGGGAGAAAGCACGGGUGAUCUUCGGACCUUGCGCUAUCGGAUGAGCCCAUGUCGGAUUAGCUUGUUGGUGAGGUAAUGGCUCACCAAGGCGACGAUCCGUAGCUGGUCUGAGAGGAUGAUCAGCCACACUGGGACUGAGACACGGCCCAGACUCCUACGGGAGGCAGCAGUGGGGAAUAUUGGACAAUGGGCGAAAGCCUGAUCCAGCCAUGCCGCGUGUGUGAAGAAGGCCUUCGGGUUGUAAAGCACUUUCAGCGAGGAAGAAUGCCUUGGGAUUAAUACUCCCGAGGAAAGACAUCACUCGCAGAAGAAGCACCGGCUAACUCCGUGCCAGCAGCCGCGGUAAUACGGAGGGUGCGAGCGUUAAUCGGAAUUACUGGGCGUAAAGCGUACGCAGGCGGUUUGUUAAGCGAGAUGUGAAAGCCCCGGGCUCAACCUGGGAACUGCAUUUCGAACUGGCAAACUAGAGUGUGAUAGAGGGUGGUAGAAUUUCAGGUGUAGCGGUGAAAUGCGUUAGAGAUCUGAANGGNAAUACCGAUNGGNCGAANGGCAGCCACCUGGGUUCAACACUGAACGCUCAUGUACGAAAGCGUGGGGAGCAAACNGGGANUNAGAUACCCCGGUAGUCCACGCCGUAAACGAUGUCUACUAAAAGCUCGGAGCCUCGGUUCUGUUUUUCAAAGCUAANCGCAUUAAGUAGACCGCCNUGGGGAGUACGGCCGCAAGGUUAAAACUCAAAUGAAUUGNACGGGGGCCCGCACNAAGCGGUGGAUCAUGUGGNUUUAAUUCGAUNGCAACGCNGAAGAANCCUUACCUANCACUUNGACAUANCANGANGAACUUNACCAGANGANUGGNUUUGGUGNCCUUNCGGGAANCUCUGAUACAGGUGCUGCAUGGCUGUCGUCAGCUCGUGUUGUGAAAUGUUGGGUUAAGUCCCGUAACGAGCGCAACCCCUAUCCUUAUUUGCCAGCGAGUAAUGUCGGGAA